UGGUGGGCUGCCAUCUAUGGGGUCGCACAGGGUCGGACACGACUGAAGCGACUUAGCAGCAGCAGCAGCAGCAGCUCCUGUUUUCUCAGCACCUCAGCGAGACAAGAAAGACAGAGCCUGCCAGAACCAAGGACACUGGGCUGCACUCGGAGAAGUUCCUGAAUCUCUCCUGGAUGCUAACCAUCAUGUGACCAGAGAAAUUGUCAACCGUCCCUCCUCAGCAGAGACCAGACCUCCCCCUCGUCUCCCAGCCCUGCGUCUGGCAUGUUUUCUCAACACCUCAGUGGAACAAUAAAGGACCGAGCCUGCCAGAACCAAGGUAGUGUGUUCAACAUUAUCAUAACAGCUGUAGAAACAGUUAAUAUCACACAGAACCAAAGGGAGGAGACGAGGACUUCUUGGGACAAGUGUUGGGAGAGGAGACCAACCCUGCAUUUCUUUCUAUCAUGCCAAGAGUUUACAAGAACCCACUUGUUUCCAUCUUAGGGACCCAACCAGCAGAGACAUGGUAUCCUAACCAAGGGUCGUGGGAUCCCAGGUGCAGGGUCUGGGGAUUGUGUGGGUCUCAUCCCAUCCACAUGGGUCAGGAUCCUGUGUACACAGAGACCACACAUCUGCUCUUCACCUGCUGUAUGUCCUGUCUUCUCAGAGAUUCCCAAUGUCUGAAUUGAGGGUAUUGCCCUGAUUAACCUGUGGUCCUUUUUCUCUUUUCAUCUUGUCCCAUUCACAUGAGGUCAGGCACCUUUGGGUGGGUUGCUGCUCUGUGUUCUGCUGAGUGAAAAUCUUUGGAGGUGUCAUAUGAAUAUCACAGCAUAUCACAUAUCCAAUUCAUAGGGUCAUGACUGUGUGGUUUCCCCUAGACCGAGCUCAGGUCUAGUUUGUAAUUGAAUUGUUAUUUUAUAUUGGGGGUAGAGUUGAUUUCCGACGUUUAGUUUACGUGUACAUGAACUUGAUUCAAUUAUACAUGGAUGUAUAUAUAUUGUUUUCUGUUUUUUUCUCAUAUAGGUUAUAAUAGUUUGUUCAGGAGACUUCCAUGUUCUAUUCAGUAGGUCCUUUUUCAUUAUCAACUUGAUAUUUAUUCAUGUGUAUAUUUUCAUCCCAAACCCUUAAUUUAUCCCUUCUAACUUUUUUUUUGAUAAUCAGAACUUAGUUUUCUCAGGCUCUUUCUGUUAUGUACCUUAGUUCAUUGGUAUGAAUUUAUAGAUCCCACCUGUAUGUGAUAUCUUAGAAUGUUUGUCUUUUUGUCUUUGACUUACCUCACAUAGAAUUAUAAUUUCUUGGUUCAUCCAUGCUGCUGCCAAUAUGAUUAUUUCAUUCUGUGUUGUGGCUGAGUAGUAUUUUAGUGUAUAGAUGUAUAAUGUAGUCUUCAUAUUUGUGUCAAUGGACAUUUUGGUGGAUUUUUAUGUCUUGGCUAUUGUAAAUAGUGCUGCCCUGAAAAUCGAGGUACACGUGUCAUUUUGAAUGAUGAUUUUCUUUGGAUCUAAGCCCAGGAAUGGGAUUGCAGGAUCAUAUGAUACCUCUGUGUUUAAUGUUUCAAGGAAUGUCCAUGCUGCUUUUCAUCGUGGCUUCAGCAGUGACAGUCCCACCAAGACUGUAGGAAGAUUCCAUUUUUUUGUAUGUUCUCUAUAGUAUUCAUUCUUUGUAGAUCUUUUCGAUGAUGGCCAUUGUGACUAGCAUAAGGUGAUAGCUUAUUGAAGUUUUGAUUGGCAUUGAUUUAAUAAUUAUUGAUGUGGAGUAUCUUCCCAUGUGCUUUUAUUAUUUUAUACCUUGCGAAUACAAUUUACAUCUUGAAACUGGCUUCUUGAAA